AGCCUGUUGUCUGGCGCUUUCUGGUAACUGCUCAAACGAACCUAAAUACAAACCUCAUAGGUCGAUUGAUCGAUAUUUAGCUCGCUAGUAGCUUGGUUCUUCGCGGUAUGUUUCAACGUGUAGGACUUGAUUAUGAUGAAAAUUUUGCACAGUCACUCGUUAUGACAUUAUUCGCACCUUACCAGUGCUCGGAAGUGAAAAAAUCUUGACGUCGGGCAAUUAGACAUUAGAAAUUUAUUUUUGUGUGGCGACUUUGACACAGAAAUAUGUUUGACUCAACCAGAAGAUUUCGAUGACGGAUCAGGUCUUGUUUAUCGCCUCAAUAAUUCAUUAAAUGGACUUACGCAGUCAUCGCAUUGUUGAAAUAAUAAGUUUGACUCAGUCCUGAGGACUACUGGACAUAUUCGUUCGGUAGCAAACCUUUGUACUUAAAUUUGAUAGAGCAAAACAGAAAAAUUGUUGAGUGCCAUUUCCGUCGAUGAUAAUUACAUGGCAGGGUCGAUUCAGAAAGUGUACUGAAUUGGUUUUUGACUUGCGUCAGAAUUGAAAAUAACAGUGGGCUGUUUAAACUUGCAGAUAGAACAACCAAAGUCUGGGUCCUUCAUUUCACAGCAAGGAUACACAGAGAAGAUUCUACAUCCUUUUAACAUGCCGGUUAAAAACCAUUGAAGAUUCCCUGAACAAUUAGACAACAAGGCUAGUAACACUCUCAACAGCACUGCCGCCUGUUGUUCAGCUGUAGGAUCAUGACUUUUCUGACAUGCUCUAAUUUUCUUGAUUUCAAUUAUGCUGUUUCAGAAGUUGCUCGAUUGAUAGCCAAAGCUACUUCUAACUGGAACGCCGUAAAAUAUUUUCUAAGUGCAUCGAAGUACGUUAUUAUUUAGUGCAUGAACUCUAGCGCAAAAUGUUUAUAUCAGUGUGGAAUGUAUGUCUUCCAAACAUCAACUUGGGGACUUGUUUAUAAAGCCUUUAAAGUGAAACAUUUAACGCAGUGUGCACUGAGAUAGGACUUUGUGAGUAGUGUGUUUUGUCCGUAUAUUAUACUGUGCAUCACAAUUCGAUUGGGGUGAAGUUUAAAUGGAAUAAACCGAACUUUGUUGCGUUUGUAGGUGCCUCCUACCGUAGUACAUAGUUUUGUAUACCAUAGAACGUCUCUGUUAUAAGAGUGUCUAUUAUUUGUUUUCCUGUUUAUGCUCCAAAGCAUAAUGGUCUAUUGUUUGUUGUGUAUCCAGUACAGAAAAUGCACCAUUUUCUUAAGUACCCUGUUACAUUCUUGCUACAAAAUAUAUCACUAUCAGAUGAUGUCACACUGUGAUUAAUUGUAAAUAGCAGCUAACAGAUAUUCCAGGCUAGGUGAACUGUGUCAGUGCAGCCUAGAGACAUGUUCUCUACUGUAAAGACGAUUAGUUGUCAGGACCCAAGUUUAAUGCUUUCGGUAAUCAAACUGAGAAGAAGUUAGUGAAGUGGUAUUGCUAACAUUUUCAACUAGUGUUCCUCGCGAUAUAUGACAGUAAUGCUUGUACACACAGAAAAUUUUGACCAAACCCAACAGUCUGUGGUACCUCACCUGAACUACGCUUUGUCACCUGUUGUUGAGAUAAUUCAAAAUAUCAUUGACAGCAUAACUGUAGAAGUUGUCACAGCGCCAAUAGAGCAUCUUUUUGAGAAGGAAGGUUACUGAAGGAAGGAAUAGAAGGUAUAUAUAUAUUAUUUUUGCCAAACCAAAAAGAAAUUAACGAAUUAUUUGGAUUGAAAGCCAUGUCCAAUAAUAACAUUAGUGCUACUGUUUCAUCCUCAGACUGUUCUGAUACUGAGGAAGUUCCUGAUCAAGAACCUCCUAAAACUCCAGAUCCUGAUCCACUUAGCAUACUACUUGCGGAAAAUGAAGCUUCUAAUCUAUCAGUUUUUAAAUCAGUAGAAAUCGAUUUGAUAUAACAGUAAUCAGGUAGGCUAUGAAAUUGAGCUUUAGAGAAAAAUUGACUUAAUUAACAAUACCUCUGGGCUCCAGAUGUAACAUAACAUUUAUCAUAAACGUUACCUUGAGCAUCUAUAACAUCUUGCCAACUAUGUCCAUAACCCCUCACUUGAAAUAGACGAGUAUUAAUAAAAUGUAUAUCACCAUUUUUAAUAGCAUUUACAUUUUUCCAAAUAAAAAACUUUGACAAUUAA